CGGGAUGUGGCUCAGCUUGGUAGAGCGCGUCGUUCGGGACGACGAGGUCGUGGGUUCGAAUCCCGCCAUCCCGACCA
rnacentral:tRNA from 1 species